AUUGAACGCUGGCGGCAUGCUUUACACAUGCAAGUCGAACGGUAACAGGUUAAGCUGACGAGUGGCGAACGGGUGAGUAAUGCAUCGGAACGUGCCCGGUCGUGGGGGAUAACGCAGCGAAAGCUGCGCUAAUACCGCAUACGAUCUAAGGAUGAAAGCGGGGGACCGUAAGGCCUCGCGCGAUCGGAGCGGCCGAUGUCAGAUUAGGUAGUUGGUGGGGUAAAGGCUCACCAAGCCAACGAUCUGUAGCUGGUCUGAGAGGACGACCAGCCACACUGGGACUGAGACACGGCCCAGACUCCUACGGGAGGCAGCAGUGGGGAAUUUUGGACAAUGGGCGAAAGCCUGAUCCAGCAAUGCCGCGUGCAGGAAGAAGGCCUUCGGGUUGUAAACUGCUUUUGUACGGAGCGAAAAGGUCUCCUCUAAUACAGGGGGCUCAUGACGGUACCGUAAGAAUAAGCACCGGCUAACUACGUGCCAGCCGCCGCAGUAA
rnacentral:rRNA from 1 species